GAUGCUACGGCCAUUGCCUCUGAAAAAAAGCAUAAAAUGAGUGACCCGGCUCCUUUGCCGUGUGUUUGUGCUAAAUCUGAAUGGUUCACCGCAGGAUGGCAGGAGAGGCAGCCGCCCCCUGCCCUUCUCUGAGAGCGCUUCCCUCGGGAGCGAUGCACCGCGGUUAAGGCCAAGUGUGAAACCCAGGGGCUCAGCUGCGAGUCCAGCGUGAUGUCAGCUUGGUGAGGGGUAUAAAUAAAGGCAUUUUAGGACAAGACAGGAUUCAGUUUGCCUUUGCUUCACCCUGGAGGGUGAGGCUGAUAAUUGCACCUUGAUGAUAAUGCCGGUGGCUCCUGGAUCAUUAUGAUUCGAUGUAGAGCACGUUUGAAGAGUGUUUGGGAUUGUUUGGUUAUUUUUUUCUUUCAUUUGAGUGAUAAUGUCAGUAAGCCCUGGCUCCAAAUCUCAUCUUUUGAAUGUCAUUCACGCUAAUGAGCCCUGGCCCAAUCCAGCAAGAUGCGUUUGGGUUUAUUUCAGCUUUCUGCAAGCAGGAGAUGGGCAGGAACCCAAAGCCGGGGCAGAGCCUUGGUGCUGGAGGAUUGGCGGCUGCUGGAACGUGCUGGGCUCCGCACACCUCCGGCCAACAGCAGCUCCCAAACUGCAGCCCCGCUUCCCUGCCAGCACAACCUGCUUUUGCCAUCUAGUGGCUCUCCCAGAAAGGCUCAAAAAUAGACCUGGGGAGCCAAAGUGGAGGGAUGAUAGGGUCAGGAAGGGAAAGAAAGGUGAGAAAAAUAUUGGAGGGUAUCUGUGCUAUUCAAGUGGCUUUUUUUUUCCCAAGUUACAAGCACGAGACCAGUGUGAGGCUUUGUGGAGUGCUCUGCCGAUACAUUAAGGUUAGCGGUGGAGAUUAUCAGCCAGCGAGACCCCACCAGAGCACAGCAUCCCUCGUGUGACACAGCUCUGCGAUGCAGCUCUGCUCAGCUGCCUGUGUUUGCGAUGGCCAGAGCCUGGAUCAUAGAUUCAUAGAAUAGUUUGGGUUGGAAGGGACCUUCAAGCCCAUCCCGUUCCAACCCCCUGCCAUGGGCAGGGACACUUCCCACUGGAUCAGGCUGCCUAAAGCCCAUCCAACCUGACCUAGAACAAAUUGCCAAACCUGCCCGAAGGGAAAAAGCUCUGGGCGCCCAUGGCUUCAUGCAGUUUGUGUCCGCACAUCAGGGUUUGGCUGCCUGUAAAUCAGGAUUGUGGUGUUAAUAGUGUGUUGAUGCUUUCUUUUGCUAUUUUUCCUUCCCAUAUUGUCAUUUGUUGAAUUUGGAAGUGAUGACAGGAUUUGCUUUCAGCUUGGUUCAGGAGUGUUUAAAAUAAAUCCAAAAUGUAGAGAGGCUGCAUUCCCCUCUGCUUGACCUCAGGAUGGAGGCUGGGGAGAAGUAUUCUGCCCCAUCCCCAGAGCCACCCUUUCCCUCUCCCAGGAGCCCGGGGAGAAUCAUGGAAUAGUUCGGGUUGGAAGGAGCCUUAAAGAUCACCCAGUUCCACCCCCCUGCCAUGGGCAGGGACACCUCCCAGUGGAUCAGGCUGGAUCCCAAGGUCCCAUCCAACCCGGCCUUGAACACCUCCAGGGAUGGGGCAGACACAGCUUCCCUGGGCAACCUGGGCCAGGGCCUCACCACUCUCAAGGUGAAGAAAUUCUUCCUUACAUCAAGUCUAAAUCUGCCCCUCUCCAGUUUAUACCCAUUGCCCCUCGUCCUAUCACCGCAAACCUUUAUGAACAGCCCCUCUCCAGCUUUCUUGUAACCCCUUAAGGUACUGGAAGGUCGCUAUAAGCUUUCCCUGGAGUCUUCUCUUCUCCAGGCUGAACAACCCCAACUCUCUCAGCCUGUGCUCGUAUGGAAGGCACUCCAGCCCUCUGAUCGUCUCUGUACGAUGAGGACCCAACCCUUUCCCCCCCUGGCAGACAGCAUCCUGCAAAGCCUCCCUCGCAAAAAAAGAAAAGUAACUGGCAGCUUUUAUUGAGAUUAAAAUACCACACAGAUCUGCUGCGCUUUUGUUUUUAAACGCUUGAAUGCAUUAGCAUUGAUUUAUUUUUAAUACAACCAGCCACCUGUGAUUUUUUGAAUAUUAUUUCUGUUUGUGCUCUUUAGCAGAGGUAAUUACAACGUUGUUUUUGAGCUGCGACCGCAGCCGUGCUGCCCUGGAGGGGUGGCUCAGGGCUGGCAGCAGCACCAGGUACUCGUGUGUACCCACAACGCGCUGCUCUGCCUUCAGUAGCACUAAAUAUUUCCUUUAUUCACCACUCAGAUGUAGCUGCACGUGUUGUAGGGGGCUUAAGGAGAAAGAAAACGCCUUUUCUUUGUUUUUUCCUUAAUCUCAACAGGCCUUCAGCAUCCUGUUGGAGAACGACCGCGGUCUGUUAGUGCCUGGGAAGAGAGCAGCGAGGUUCAAGGUCACAGGGAAAGGCAGAACCCGCUGGGCUCCCCGUACCUAUGGAAUGCUCGUUCUUGAACUGCUCUCAGUAAUGCUUCAAAUCACCUUGCACAUAUAAUGAAAGUACGAGCAAGAACUCACUAAGCGAAUGAGCCCUUCCUUUAAUUCCCCUUUGCUUACGCUGCUUAUUUUUCUCCCGCAUUAAUUAUUUUUAAAGGAAAAUUUAAUUUUGUUUAAUGGGAACAAAGUUUAACACUCCAUAAACUUUGUCUUCUGCAGCCUUCCAUCUGCACACGUGGGGCUGCGUCCUCUGUUGUGACCUGGAUGCAGCAAUCAGAGCCGAUCGGAAGGAAAAAGAAAAGGACGGCUCCGAGAGGGCACAGCAGGGACCAUUAAGAAGGUUUCUGGCAUCUUUCCUCUAAUCCAGACAAAUGCAUUUGCCUCCCCCUGCUGUCAGCUAAAGACAAAGAGUGGUUAUCAAGCUCUCUCUUCCCUUGAUGGACUGGAGGUGCAAGCGCUCAGCAGCUCACCUGGAGAUGGAAGUUCACACCAGCUCGGGUAAGGACUGUAGGUUGGGAACUCCAAAGCACAUAAUGUUUCUCAGAGCACAGCGCCUCCAGGAAGGCCGUGGGACUUCUCAUUAAAUCCAUUUUCAUACUUCAGAGAAGGGCUUUUGCUAUGAGCUUGCAAAAAGCAGGUUCUCCCAGGGAGCAGAGAAACAUGUACCCCGAAAGUGCAUGGCUUUACGCUCUUGUGCUUUAAUAAAAGCUUAUUUGCUCAAUGGUUGUGUGGGAGUUUGGAAUAUGACAGCCCAUCCCACUGUCCCCAUCUGUGACCUGGCAACCACCUGGAGCUUAGGAGUGCAGGGCUACCCAACAGGAGGAUGCAACAGCUUUGUAAUAUCGAGCUGUAAUUCAGAAGAAAACUGAUUUAAAGCAUCUUUGUGGUAGUCAGAAUUAGCUGAUUAGCAUCAGUCUGUUGGGAAGCUCAUUUGAAUGAAAAAGGGGAGCUAUUGGGACUUGUCUGAGCCUCUACACAUUGCACGUGUACUACCAGACCAGUCAGACUGCCCCCGGCAGCCCUUGCCCAACUCUAUGGGUGCUAUUAAUGGGUGUAAUUAAUAGCUACCUCUUUUCCACAGUCACGUUUCAAUCCACAUAACUUCAUUUUCUGUGAAUGCCUGUUAUAAGCUGGUCAUUCCCUAGAGUGUAACAUCCAAGGACCCCUCUAACCUCACUCCUGUGCUGAGAUUUCCCUGCCCUGGUGCCAACCUUCUUGGAUGACAAGGGCAAGUUAUCUUGUAUGACGGGGAUAUUGUGAACUUGGGAAAAAAGACUAAAAAUCACACUUUGUGUGAAAUUCAUUUAGUUCAAUAAAGCCAUGAUUGUACCAUAGCCUGCUUCUGUAACCAAUCACUUUAAAUUAUGAUCUAGUUAGGGGUUAUUUUCCCAGUUGCUGUAGGGCCUCAGAACCGGUUGCAGGUACCCAGCUCUGCUGUGAAAGGGGGAGCUCGGUCAGCUCGGGCUGAAAAGGCUCCGGGCAGGAUGAGGGGAGUUCACCGAGAAAUGCUUUAUGUUGGGUGUUCUCUGGCCUUGCCAAAAUAGCACUAUGAUGUGUACUGCUAUCAAUGUGAGCUAUAAAACGCCAGAGUAAAAGAUUUAGAUUUAAAUUUAAGAAAUAUUUUUCAGAGUUUUUAGCAGAAAAAUGGAUUUCAAAAGGGUUGGACUCCCCCCUCACACAGCACCUCAUCCUCUCUGUGCGGAGUUUGGAGUGUGAGGGGGACAGGGAUGACACAAACCCUUUACCAAGAGCAGAGGACUUUCAAUUACGGCUUCUUGAGAGCAAGUUUCC